rnacentral:rRNA from 1 species
AGGUUUCCGUAGGUGAACCUGCGGAAGGAUCAUUAACAAAUAUGUGGGAUGCUCAAUAUGAGCUCCCAAAAUAAACACAUUCAUGUGUAUCCUUCCAUGUUGCUUUCCCAGGCCAGUGGCCACUGCCACCAGCCAGUCCAUUAUUUGGUCUUCAGGUUGAGGUGCUUGGGAAAGGGCCAAUUAUCAAACUUCUUUAUAUUAACCUAUUGUCUGAUGAGGCUAUAUGCCGUAAUAUGUAAAUAUGUUAAAACUUUCAACAACGGAUCUCUUGGCUCUCGCAUCGAUGAAGAACGCAGCGAAAUGCGAUAAGUAAUGUGAAUUGCAGAAUUCAGUGAAUCAUCGAAUCUUUGAACGCACAUUGCGCCCUUUGGUAUUCCUUAGGGCAUGCCUGUUCGAGCGUCAUAAACAAUCUGAUCACCAUAUGUGUGGUAUUGGCAGAAGUGGAUAUAGUCAAGAGUAUUAGACUCCACUCUGCUGGAAUGAAUAGGCUGGAAAAGUAGAUCAUGGCAAUAGACUUUCAGAGUAUUUUAGAAUGCUAAAUUAGUUUGGAGCUGAUCAGAACCCAGGCCAGUUGACCCUCAUCCUGUGUAAAGCAGUAAGAAUGACCUCGGAUCAGGUAGGGAUACCCGCUGAACUUAAGCAUAUCAAUAAGCGGAGGAAAAGAAACCAACAGGGAUUGCCUUAGUAACGGCGAGUGAAGCGGCAAAAGCUCAAAUUUGAAAUCUGACAUCUCUGAUGUUCGAGUUGUAAUUUGGAGAGACAUCUUCUGGAGGGACCCAGCCUAUGUGCCUUGGAACAGGACAUCAUAGAGGGUGAGAAUCCCGUUCUUG